GUAUAUGUGGCAACCCAGAUACUAAAAUUGAAAGGGUACAGAGAAGAUUAGCAUGGCCUUUGUGCAAGGAUGGUAUGCAAAUUUAUGAAGCAUUUCAUAUUUUG